AAUCUUGAGCUUCUUGAGGCCGUCCAUUUGACAUGUGCAAUGCUACUUGAAGUGCCAAACAUGGCAGCUAAUAGCCAUGACAUGAAGCGUAGGGUUAUUAGCAAGACAUUCCGGAGAUUGCUUGAGGUAAGUGAGAGGCAAACUUUCACCGGCCCACCUGAAAAUGUGAGGGACCAUGUAAUGGCAACCAAAUAUGGCAGCUAAUAGCCAUGACAUGAAGCGCAGGGUUAUUAGCAAGACAUUCCGGAGAUUGCUUGAAGUGAGUGAGAGGCAAACUUUCACCGGCCCACCUGAAAAUGUGAGGGACCAUGUAAUGGCUGCGACAAGGGCCCUCAAGCAAGGAAACUUUGAAAAGGCUUUUGAUGUUAUCAACUCCCUUGACGUGUGGAGGCUGCUACACAACAAGGAUAGUGUUCUUGAGAUGCUUAGG
rnacentral:lncRNA from 1 species